ACAGUCGUGGCCUAAUGGUUAGAGAGUCAGACUUGUAACUUGAAGGUCGUGAGUUUGAGCCUCAGGCCGGCAGGG